rnacentral:rRNA from 1 species
UACGGAGGGUGCAAGCGUUGUUCGGAUUUAUUGGGCGUAAAGGGCGUGUAGGCGGUUUUCUAAGUCUGAUGUGAAAGCCCCGGGCUCAACCUGGGAAGGGCAUUGGAAACUGGGAGACUUGAGUACGGGAGAGGGCAGUGGAAUUCCUGGUGUAGGAGUGAAAUCCGUAGAUAUCAGGAGGAACACCGGUGGCGAAGGCGGCUGCCUGGACCGAUACUGACGCUGAGACGCGAAAGCGUGGGGAG